rnacentral:rRNA from 1 species
AAAUAUUCCAAUAGUAACUUAGUAUUAUAAGAAUUAUUGGGAACUCGCAUUGGAUUAGAUAGAUGGGAAUGAUGAAUGUAUAUUAUAGCUUCCCAUGUCUAAAACAUAGUUUAAUUGAUAGAUUAUUAAAUCACAAUGGCACUGAAAAAAGGGCCAUACAAUAAAUAUUGUCAGCAGUAGAGAAUAUUGGACAAUGUAAAAACAUAUGAUCCAGAGCAUAAUAUUAGUCCUGGCAAAUUCUGUGCCAGCAGCCGCGGUAAGACAGAUAGGACAAGUGUAUUGCAUAAUGAUUGGGUAUUGCGUGUGAAAGCAUGACUUAUAAAGAAAAAGAAUAGGAAUUCUCCAUGUAUUGGUAAAAUAAGCAAAUAUGGAUGAGGAACGCCAAAGGCAUAAGCAUAUUUUGAAAAUUUAUAUAAGCUGUAACACGGAAGUCCGAGUAGCAAAAAGGAUUAGAGACCCUCGUAGUUCGGACCGUCAAUUGCCAUUUUAUAUAAUGGUCACCUGAUGACACGGCGGCAACGCUAUUAAGUCAAAGUAUUAGACGGAGAUCAAUAAAUGCGGUGGAGCAUGUGGUUUAAUGCGACGAUCCCCGCAAAACCUUACCACUUUUUAACAUUUUAA